GUCCACGCCGUAAACGAUGGGCACUAGAUGUGGGCGGUGUCGACUCCGCCCGUGUCGCAGCUAACGCACUAAGUGCCCCGCCUGGGGAGUACGGCCGCAAGGCUAAAACUCAAAGGAAUUGACGGGGGCCCCGCACAAGCAGCGGAGCAUGUGGUUUAAUUCGACGCAACGCGAAGAACCUUACCUGGGCUUGACAUGUCAGUGAAAACCUUAGAGAUAAGGUCUCUCUUCGGAGCGCUGUCACAGGUGGUGCAUGGCUGUCGU
rnacentral:rRNA from 1 species